ACCAGGGAUGGUGGCUUGCACCUAUAGUCCCAGCUACUUAGGAAGCUGAAGCUGGAGGACUGCUUGACUCCAAAAGUCCUGGGCUGCAGCAUGCUAUGUUGAUAGCGUGUCCAAAGUAAGCUCAGCAUCAAUAUGGGGAACUCUUGGGAGUGGGGGAAUCACCAGAUUACUUAAGGAGCGGUGAAGUGGCCCAGGCUGGAAACAGAGCAGGUUGGGAAUCACCAGAUCACUUAAGGAGCGGUGAGUGGCCCAGGCUGGAAACAGAGCACGUCAGACCUCCUGUGCUGAUCUGAUCAGUGGAGGCAUUAUGCCCAUGAACAGCACUGCACUCCAAACUGGGCAACAUAAUGUGACUCCAUCUUU
ensembl:misc_RNA Metazoa_SRP Metazoan signal recognition particle RNA